rnacentral:rRNA from 1 species
CCUACGGGAGGCAGCAGUAAGGAAUAUUGGUCAAUGGACGCAAGUCUGAACCAGCCAUGCCGCGUGAAGGAUUAAGGCCCUCUGGGUUGUAAACUUCUUUUAUAGGGGACGAAAAAAGGGCAUUCUUGCUCACUUGACGGUACCCUAGGAAUAAGCACCGGCUAACUCCGUGCCAGCAGCCGCGGUAAUACGGAGGGUGCAAGCGUUAUCCGGAUUUACUGGGUUUAAAGGGUGCGUAGGUGGGUUGGUAAGUCAGUGGUGAAAUCUUCGAGCUUAACUCGGAAACUGCCAUUGAUACUAUCAAUCUUGAAUCAUCUAGAGGUAAGCGGAAUAUGUCAUGUAGCGGUGAAAUGCUUAGAUAUGACAUAGAACACCAAUUGCGAAGGCAGCUUACUAUGGAUGCAUUGACACUGAGGCACGAAAGCGUGGGGAUCAAACAGGAUUAGAUACCCUGGUAGUCCACGCCCUAAACGAUGGAUACUCGACAUUUGUGAUAUACCAAUAAGUGUNUGNGNGAGAGAUAGUAUCCACCGNGGUAAGUACGACGCGAGUAGUUAAGUUAGAAGAAGUUAGAGCGNGAGAGNGCGACGGACGACGACGAGGGAGAGG